UUGGAGGGCAAGUCUGGUGCCAGCAGCCGCGGUAAUUCCAGCUCCAAUAGCGUAUAUUAAAGUUGUUGUGGUUAAAAAGUUCGUAGUUGAACCUUGGGCCUGGCUGGCCGGUCCGCCUCACCGCGUGUACUGGUCCGGCCGGGCCUUUCCCUCUGUGGAACCCCAUGCCCUUCACUGGGUGUGGCGGGGAAACNGGACUUUUACUGUGAAAAAAUUGAGUGCUCCAGGCAGGCCUAUGCUCGAAUACAUUAGCAUGGAAUAAUAGAAUAGGACGUGUGG
rnacentral:rRNA from 1 species